CCUACGGGAGGCAGCAGUAAGGAAUAUUGGUCAAUGGGCGCAAGCCUGAACCAGCCAUGCCGCGUGCAGGAAGACGGCCCUAUGGGUUGUAAACUGCUUUUGAACAAGAGAAAACCUCGGUACGUGUACCGAGCUGAUAGUAUUGUUAGAAUAAGCAUCGGCUAACUUCGUGCCAGCAGCCGCGGUAAGACGAAGGAUGCAAGCGUUAUCCGGAUUCAUUGGGUUUAAAGGGUGCGUAGGCGGCCUGAUAAGUCAGUGGUGAAAUCUCUCAGCUUAACUGAGAAACUGCCAUUGAUACUGUCGGGCUUGAGUACAGAUGAUGUGGGCGGAAUAUGACAUGUAGUGGUGAAAUACUUAGAUAUGUCAUAGAACACCGAUUGCGAAGGCAGCUCACAAAACUGUAACUGACGCUGAGGCACGAAAGUGCGGGGAUCAAACAGGAUUAGAUACCCUGGUAGUCCGCACCGUAAACGAUGAUUACUCGUUGUUGGCAAUAUGACCGUCAGCGACCAAGCGAAAGCGAUAAGUAAUCCACCCUGGGGAGUACGCCGGCAACGGUUGAAACUCAAAGGAAUUGACGGCGNGAGAGNGCGAGACGACGACGAGGGAGAGG
rnacentral:rRNA from 1 species